rnacentral:rRNA from 1 species
UCUUCACCUCGGAUCAGGUAGGGAAUAACCCGCUGAACUUAAGCAUAUCAAUAAGCGGA